UGGACUUAAGCUGCUUUCCGCAAAGGAGCGCUGUAUUGCCAGAGAGCCCUUUCAUCAGUUGACCUCAUCUUACGGUGGUUAUGAAGGAGUUGACCUGAACUCUCAUCACUUCUUCCUCUGAUCCCUGCUGCAUUCUGGAGUCCUGAGUACAUGAUGCUAGCAGUCCCGCACAAUUAAUUGUACAUGCUGGAGUAGCCAUGCCUUACCACAUGUGACUUUAGUUUACUGAAAAGAUGCCUGGGACACACGGGUUUAGUUUCUAAUCCUGCCACAGACUUAUGCUGAACCUAGGAUCGGUCGCUGAAUGCAUCUGAGACCUGAAACCCAUUUUUACUGGACUGAUGGAUAUCACUGUGAAGUCUAAGAGCAAAUAACACUCAAAGAUGACUGUGUGUAUUGUCAUGAGAUGCACCAGGAGAUCCAAAAUGGAAACAAAGAUUUUCUAAUCUUUCUGCUUUUCCUUUAAAGAAGGAGCUAAAUAAAGCCAGCUCUUUAGAAAUGCACAGAGAAAAAAGAAGCCAGGGGUUGGUUCUGCCCAGAGAAAUGAAAGCAGAAUCCUGGCUGCAACAUAGUGAGUGUUAGCUCACUGCCUGCCCAAAUACAAUAGUGCCUGCACCAUGGAACAGGCUUAAAACGAAGUUGGUGCUCCACAGCGAUGGAAAACCUGUUUGGUUUAAUGAGAGCAGGAAAAAAGAAGCUGAAGCAGUGACAGCAGGAGGAAGAAGUGCGGAGACCAAAGGGCUUUUUGUUGAAGUAUAAAAUGCACUUAACAGCUGUAGAAUUUAGUAGAUUUUCUUAAAUGUUCCUGGUGAUCUGGGUGUAGUUUAUUUUUAACAGCGCUGAACACUACUGCUCAUAGGCAUAGUAAUUUCUCUCCAACUCUGCUGCUGGGAGAUAUUUCCACCAGAGCUACAGAAGAGCAAAGGAGAAAUUUGCACGUCACUAAAACAAGCACAAGAAACACUCAAGCAGCUAUAGCAUAACUAAAUUGUAUAUGAAGUUGCAGCAGGGUGUUUAUAUGGGAGUAUUGUGCUACUGAAAGGGUUUUUUUAACAAACUGGAGUAAAUCAAGAUGGGGUUAAAGAGGUUUCAAGCAUCCUUAAGGCUUAAACCAAAACAAUUUUCUUACUCAUGGCACCACUUUAGAAUAUAAAGGAAAAAAUACAACAAAUACUUUUCCACACUUAGUAUUUAUUCUAUUUCUUCUGAGUUGGGCCUGAAAAUCACAGGGGCUAAUUUCGCCUCCGGGCUGGCUGUAGUUUUAUUUGGUCAAAUAAUUUCUGUAAGUAAGCAUCAUUGUUUGAUGGAUAUUUUUACAAAGAAGUUGGUUUGGACAACCCGAUGUUGUGGGAGGUGUUUCUGCCCAGGGAAGAUGGAUGGAAUUGGAUGAUCUUUAAGAUCCCUUCCAGCCCAAACCAUUCUGUGAUUUUAUGAUCCUGAGUAAUUUGUGUUUAGCUUGACUGUAGUUAGGAAUUCCAACCCUGCUGAAUGUUGUCUAGUCAUUGAUUUUGUAGUUACUUUACUCCGUUUGGCUGUCAGCAUGCAAGCUUGGCUCUGAAGGAAGGUUCCAUUGACUCAUGAAUACUUGAACUGCUGCUGACUUCAAAGCCCAGCCCUGACCGGCCAAGUUAGUCCUAACCAUAUAAAAGCAAAUUCUGCUUGGUAGCCAGCUUUUGCCCAGUGUGUUUUCCUCCUUUGAGGCAACUUUCCAUAUUCCUUAAACCAUCCUGCAUAUGGCUUUUCAUUGGCCAUUAGUGUCUAUAGAGUUAACAUCUUUGUUUAAAAAAAGUUAAAAAAAAAAAAA